rnacentral:rRNA from 1 species
UGGCUCAGGAUGAACGCUAGCUACAGGCUUAACACAUGCAAGUCGAGGGGCAGCAUUUUAGUUUGCUUGCAAACUAAAGAUGGCGACCGGCGCACGGGUGAGUAACACGUAUCCAACCUGCCGAUAACUCGGGGAUAACCUUUCGAAAGAAAGAUUAAUAUCCGAUAGUAUAUUAAAACCGCAUGGUUUUACUAUUAAAGAAUUUCGGUUAUCGAUGGGGAUGCGUUCCAUUAGUUUGUUGGCGGGGUAACGGCCCACCAAGACUACGAUGGAUAGGGGUUCUGAGAGGAAGGUCCCCCACAUUGGAACUGAGACACGGUCCAAACUCCUACGGGAGGCAGCAGUGAGGAAUAUUGGUCAAUGGACGAGAGUCUGAACCAGCCAAGUAGCGUGAAGGAUGACUGCCCUAUGGGUUGUAAACUUCUUUUAUAUGGGAAUAAAGUAUUCCACGUGUGGAAUUUUGUAUGUACCAUAUGAAUAAGGAUCGGCUAACUCCGUGCCAGCAGCCGCGGUAAUACGGAGGAUCCGAGCGUUAUCCGGAUUUAUUGGGUUUAAAGGGAGCGUAGGUGGAUUGUUAAGUCAGUUGUGAAAGUUUGCGGCUCAACCGUAAAAUUGCAGUUGAAACUGGCAGUCUUGAGUACAGUAGAGGUGGGCGGAAUUCGUGGUGUAGCGGUGAAAUGCUUAGAUAUCACGAAGAACUCCGAUUGCGAAGGCAGCUCACUAGACUGCAACUGACACUGAUGCUCGAAAGUGUGGGUAUCAAACAGGAUUAGAUACCCUGGUAGUCCACACAGUAAACG